rnacentral:rRNA from 1 species
UACGUAGGGGUGCGAGCGUUUAAUCGGAAUUACUGGGCGUAAAGUGUGCGCAGGCGGCAGGGCAAGUCGAGUGUGAAAGCCCCGGGCUUAACUUGGGAAUUGCGCUCGAAACUACUUUGCUGGAGUGUGGCAGAGGAAGGUGGAAUUCCACGUGUAGCGGUGAAAUGCGUAGAGAUGUGGAGGAACACCAAUGGCGAAGGCAGCCUUCUGGGCCAACACUGACGCUCAUGCACGAAAGCGUGGGGAGCAAACAGGG